rnacentral:rRNA from 1 species
UGGGGAAUAUUGCGCAAUGGGGGAAACCCUGACGCAGCAACGCCGCGUGGGUGAUGAAGGCCUUCGGGUCGUAAAGCCCUGUCAGCAGGGAAGAAACUCCGGGAUUCGAAUAGGGUCUCGGAUUGACGGUACCUGCGGAGGAAGCACCGGCUAACUCCGUGCCAGCAGCCGCGGUAAAACGGAAGGUGCAAGCGUUGUUCGGAAUUACUGGGCGUAAAGCGCGUGCAGGUGGUUUUCUAAGUUUCGUGUGAAAGCCCACGGCUCAACCGUGGAACGGCACGGAAAACUGGAAGACUUGAAUACGGGAGAAGAGGGCGGAAUUCCCAGUGUAGAGGUGAAAUUCGUAGAUAUUGGGAGGAACACCGGUGGCGAAAGCGGCUCUCUAGACCGAUAUUGACGCUCAUACGCGAGAGCGUGGGUAGCAAACAGGAUUAGAUACCCACGUAGUCCCUGAGCGGGCUGGCAAGGCGCAU